rnacentral:lncRNA from 1 species
CGGCCAUAGUUUUACCUUGGGUUACCGCAUCUUCUCUUAAUGGCUUUCUGAAUCCUUUAUUAUAGGAGAUGCUUAUUGGCUUUUCAGGCUACUCAUAUCUAUCGCCUGAGGAACCAGACUGCUGACUGGGUUGCCAUCAUGCUCGCCACCGAGAUUUUUAUUUUCAGCCAUCCUCUGCUCUUUCUUGCGUUGUUGGUCGUCCCCUUACGAUUUGUGCUGAAAUAAAAAUAAUUGUCGCAUCUGGAUCUACUAACCUCUCUCUCUCUCUCUCUCUCUAUUAANNNNNNNNNNNNNNNNNNNNCUGGAGUCUACUAACCUACCUCUCUCUCUCUCUCUCUCUAUUAUAACAUUUUUUUUUACUGAGUCACUAAUCCUCCCAUAGCGGCCACAGUUUCUCUGCAGGUGCUGCAAUCGAUUAGCGGUCAAAAAUAAGUAGAACGUGGCAUCUUGCGAAACUCAAGAAUGGGGGAUCCAAAAGCAUCAUGCAACCCUCCGAGAACAAAACGACAACAUUGGGGCCACAUGUCCUCUUCGAAGAAUCGCAUGUGGAUAAUGCUUAAAGAAAAUCGCCAUCCACUCCCGCCGAGGCCGGUUAGGACACCUCGCUUUUACCCAGAGCACCCG